UGAACGCUGGCGGCAUGCCUAAUACAUGCAAGUCGAACGAACUAGUUUACUAGUUAGUGGCGAACGGGUGAGUAACACGUAGGUAACCAACCCUUUAAGCGAGGAUAACUCCGGGAAACUGGAGCUAAUACUGGAUAGGAUAUAUUUUCAGAAGAAGAUAUAUUUAAAGAUCCUUUCGGGGAUCGAUAAAGGAUGGACUUGCGUCGCAUUAGAUAGUUGGUGAGGGUAACGGCCCACCAAGUCAACGAUGCGUAGCUGAGCUGAGAGGCUGAACAGCCACACUGGGACUGAGACACGGCCCAGACUCCUACGGGAGGCAGCAGUAGGGAAUUUUCGGCAAUGGGGGAAACCCUGACCGAGCAAUGCCGCGUGAACGAAGAAGGUCUUCGGAUUGUAAAGUUCUUUUAUUCGGGAAGAAAGGUAUGUUCAGGAAAUGGGACAUAUUUGACGGUACCGAUUGAAUAAGCCCCGGCUAACUAC
rnacentral:rRNA from 1 species